AUGCCUGAUCACAAAUUGCAACCCCAGUUGCUAUUGGGCCGUGGGCAUGCGACAACUUAUGGCCUUGGGAGAACAACAAACAGGGCAAAAGUACAGGAGUGUGGCUUCCUGAACCGAGGCAUCUGGACGGAGCGCCAACGACCUAGGAUCCAGACUGCAUGUCGCCUGCUGCGCCGCCACGGUCGACGCUGUGGCGUGAUCACCAGUGACUCCACCAUAAAGAACCGUGUCUCUCUUGCCCGUGGCGUCAUAUGUACAAGUCCCCCCACUCUUAUCUUGCCAUCGAUGGCACUGGAGACAACGGCCGUGAACAGGUGA
rnacentral:rRNA from 1 species